UACGAAGGGUGCUAGCGUUGUUCGGAAUUACUGGGCGUAAAGGGCGCGUAGGCGGUGUGUCAAGUCAGGCGUGAAAGCCCCGGGCUCAACCUGGGAACAGCGCUUGAGACUGGCACGCUCGAGUUCGGGAGAGGAUGGUGGAAUUCCCAGUGUAGAGGUGAAAUUCGUAGAUAUUGGGAAGAACACCGAUGGCGAAGGCAGCCAUCUGGACCGACACUGACGCUGAGGCGCGAAAGCGUGGGGAGCAAACAGG
rnacentral:rRNA from 1 species